GGGGAGGAUGUAUGGCGUAGAUGGUAAACGUCUGCAGGAAUCCUUCUGGCAUGGUCUGUUGCUGGGUGGCAAUCACCUGGGAAAGAAGGUUGUGGGUUUGAAUCCCACUAUCCCCA